AGAAAUACCAGCCUUGGUCAAGUGUGUCACAACCCUGAAGAGAAUGCCGCCAGUCCUGCUCAGGAAAUGAUCUUCCUGGGCAACACAAGGGUGCAGGUCAGCAAAAACAGUUUCAGAAGACUCAACCGGAGAAGAAUUUCCCUGUUCGCACAGGAAUUGGCCUUGCUCGUCUUUAGAAGGGAUGUGUUGGCUUCCUCAAGUCUAACAGGAAAAUUGGGGCUCACCGGAAUACCGAAGGAUCAGCUAGACCCAUAAAAGUUGAGUGCACUUAUUGAUGCGGUCCUUGCUGAAUUUCCAGGAUCAACUGUGUCUGACGUGAGAGCAGUGAUCCCUAGGAAAUGCAACAAUGAGAAUUUUUGCUCAAAAAGAAACUGUAAGCAGCGACAAGUAAUUGUGCUUUUCUAAUGUUAAUUUUGGCAGAUGUUAAUAUGCCAUGUUUUAUA